UGUGUUGGAUGGGCCAGCUUCGUAUUUAUUCACUUGCAGGCCCUCUGGAGAAGGGGCACGUUCAGGCCAGCUGGAAUGCCAAGGGUCUUCUGCUGGACAUUCGUUAACGUGAAGUGUUAGUUCAUGUCAGAGUAUCUUCUCAGAGCACAGCUGAGAGCCACAGAGGACCAGAGGGUGGGCUGUUAGGAGCAGUGACGCUGUGGGAGGCCACGUCCACAGUGAACGAUAGGUGUUUCCGCCAACAUGGAAUAGUGACUUAUUAUCAGACACGGUGACUGCACUGAAGCUGGCGUCGCCUGAGUUUGCCUGGAUCUUUGCUACCUGACCCUGGGGAUCCUGUGUGGUGAGCCUCUGCGGGGCCUGCCAGCCAGGCCAGGAGCUUGUGUGACUGUCUGCCAUGAUGAGAGGGUUAAGUGGGUGUCGGAGAGGCUGGUCAAAAAUACCCUCGGGGACAGCCAUGGGCUUUCAAAGGGGCAAGCAAUCAGGAGCAAGAUCCAAGUCCAGGAGUGAUGUCUGAGCCCUGGGAUUGGAGCAGGAGCUACGGGGGAGGCUUUCUACAAGACGUGAGCCCAUGGCAUGAACGAGCUACUGCUUCUCUCACCUGAGUCCUCUUUAGGCUCAUCUACUUCUACGAAUGCCAAGAGAAACAAGAUUUAAAUGAAGAGAGAAAAUGGAACAUAAAAGAACAGGAGACGUUCGUGUUGAUCUAUGGAAAGCUAACCCCUGACGGCAGAUGGGUAACACUUCUCUUCCCACGUGAAAUAAAAGAAAAUUGCAUUCAGCGUGGGGGUAGAUAGCAUAAUGGCUAGGCAGAGACUUGCAUGCCUGAGGCUCCUAAGCCCCAGGUCCAAUCCCACACACCACCCCAAGUCAGAGCUGAGAAAAAUGCAUUCAUAUACAAAACUCACAAGGGUAACACUUCAAUGCUAGAUUUUUGUUAAUUGCAGGGAAGAUGGGACCUGCUUAAAGAUGACUGA